UGAACGCUGGCGGCGUGCCUAAUACAUGCAAGUCGAGCGAACGGACGAGAAGCUUGCUUCUCUGUUGUUAGCGGCGGACGGGUGAGUAACACGUGGAUAACCUACCUAUAAGACUGGGAUAACUUCGGGAAACCGUAGCUAAUACCGGAUAAUAUUUUGAACCGCAUGGUUCAAAAGUGAAAGACGGUCUUGCUGUCACUUAUAGAUGGAUCCGCGCUGCAUUAGCUAGUUGGUAAGGUAACGGCUUACCAAGGCAACGAUGCAUAGCCGACCUGAGGGGGUGAUCGGCCACACUGGAACUGAGACACGGUCCAGACUCCUACGGGAGGCAGCAGUAGGGAAUCUUCCGCAAUGGGCGAAAGCCUGACGGAGCAACGCCGCGUGAGUGAUGAAGGUCUUCGGAUCGUAAAACUCUGUUAUUAGGGAAGAACAUAUGUGUAAGUAACUGUGCACAUCUUGACGGUACCUAAUCAGAAAGCCACGGCUAACUACGUG
rnacentral:rRNA from 1 species